CAGCUCUUCCCUGAAAUGAGAGUACCCCACAGGAAGGAAUUCCCAAAUGCAUCUUCCUGGGUUCCAAAAGGAAGGUCCCUUUGGGUGGUGACAGCAUUUACCAAACUAAGGUCACAUGGAAUUGGUUCUGGCUGCCGGAUUGGCAAAGUGUAACACAUGUGGUUAAGACCAUUUUGAUGCCGGAAGCCCAGCAGGCCUUUGCUGGAAGACCAGCCUGCAGAAUGAAAGUUACUUUGAAGUUUUCAAAUAUUUUCCCAAACUCAUUAUCCUGUUUGACCAGCUAUGUUCAGAAGUACAGAGCAUCCAGAACUUCAAUUAACUUCAGUGGGAGCUACUACUACUCACCAGCUCUGAAAGGCUGCCCCCUGGUAUCUAAGCACAUUUGGCAUAAAUCACUCUGCUCCAGGUGCACAUGGAUCUAAAUCAGUUUUCUGAGAAGAAAGCACAUGGGACUCACUCCACUUUUCUUCUCAUUCUGGUCUUCGACUCUGUACCCAGUCUUUUGUCUCUUUUGUUCCUGCCCUAGAUUUCCAUAUUCUCUUCAGUACAGUUACACAUGGAUGACUGGCAU